UCCGGCUUGUCGCCGGCGGUCCCUUUAGAGUGCCCAACAAAAUGAUGGCAACUAAAGGCGAGGGUUGCGCUCGUUGCGGGACUUAACCCAACAUCUCACGACACGAGCUGACGACAGCCAUGCAGCACCUGUCUCACGGUUCCCGAAGGCACAUCCGCAUCUCUGCAGACUUCCGUGGAUGUCAAGGCCAGGUAAGGUUCUUCGCGUUGCAUCGAAUUAAACCACAUACUCCACCGCUUGUGCGGGCCCCCGUCAAUUCCUUUGAGUUUCAACCUUGCGGUCGUACUCCCCAGGCGGGGUACUUCCUGCGUUAGCUGCGGCACCGGAGGGCUCAAUACCUCCGACACUUAGUGUCCAUCGUUUAGGGCGUGGACUAC
rnacentral:misc_RNA from 1 species